UACGAAGGGGGCUAGCGUUGCUCGGAUUGACUGGGCGUAAAGGGCGCGUAGGCGGCGGACACAGUCAGACGUGAAGUUCCUGGGCUCAACCUGGGGGCUGCGUUUGAUACAUGUCUGCUUGAGUUCGGAAGAGGGUCGUGGAAUUCCCAGUGUAGAGGUGAAAUUCGUAGAUAUUGGGAAGAACACCGGUGGCGAAGGCGGCGACCUGGUCCGAUACUGACGCUGAGGCGCGAAAGCGUGGGGAGCGAACAGG
rnacentral:rRNA from 1 species